UAGUCCACGCCGUAAACGAUGAUCACUCGUUGUUGGCAAUACAUCGUCAGCGACUGAGCGAAAGCAUUAAGUGAUCCACCUGGGGAGUACGAUCGCAAGGUUGAAACUCAAAGGAAUUGACGGGGGCCCGCACAAGCGGAGGAGCAUGUGGUUUAAUUCGAUGAUACGCGAGGAACCUACCUGGGCUUAAAUGUAGGGGGACCGGUGCCGAAAGGUGCCUUUCUUCGGACCAUCUACAAGGUGCUGCAUGGUUGUCGUCAGCUCGUGCCGUGAGGUGUCGGGUUAAGUCCCAUAACGAGCGCAACCCCUAUUCUUAGUUGCCAUCAGGUCAUGCUGGGGACUCUAAGAAAACUGCCUACGCAAGUAGAGAGGAAGGUGGGGAUGACGUCAAAUCAGUACGGCCCUUACGCCCAGGGCUACACACGUGCUACAAUGGCCGGUACAAAGGGCAGCUACCUGGUGACAAGGUGCUAAUCUCUAAAACCGGUCUCAGUUCGGAUCGAAGU
rnacentral:rRNA from 1 species